rnacentral:rRNA from 1 species
UACGGAGGAUGCGAGCGUUAUCCGGAUUUAUUGGGUUUAAAGGGUGCGUAGGCGGAUUUUUAAGUCAGCGGUAAAAUGUCCGGGCUCAACCCGGGCCGGCCGUUGAAACUGGGGAUCUUGAGUGGGCGAGAAGUAUGCGGAAUGCGUGGUGUAGCGGUGAAAUGCAUAGGUAUCACGCAGAACUCCGAUUGCGAAGGCAGCAUACCGGCGCCCGACUGACGCUGAGGCACGAAAGCGUGGGGAUCGAACAGG